AUCACUUGGGGAUCUUGCUAAAAUGCAGAUUCUGAUUCAGGUCUGGGGUAGGGGACCAAGAAUCUGCACUUCUAACAAGUUCCCAGGUGAUCUGCUAC
rnacentral:pre_miRNA from 1 species